UGAAACCGUGUGCUUACAAGUAGUCAGAGCCCGUUAAUGGGUGAUGGCGUGCCUUUUGUAGAAUGAACCGGCGAGUUACGAUUUGAUGCAAGGUUAAGCAGUAAAUGUGGAGCCGUAGCGAAAGCGAGUCUGAAUAGGGCGUUUAGUAUUUGGUCGUAGACCCGAAACCAGGUGAUCUACCCUUGGUCAGGUUGAAGUUCAGGUAACACUGAAUGGAGGACCGAACCGACUUACGUUGAAAAGUGAGCGGAUGAACUGAGGGUAGCGGAGAAAUUCCAAUCGAACCUGGAGAUAGCUGGUUCUCUCCGAAAUAGCUUUAGGGCUAGCCUCAAGUGAUGAUUAUUGGAGGUAGAGCACUGUUUGGACGAGGGGCCCCUCUCGGGUUACCGAAUUCAGACAAACUCCGAAUGCCAAUUAAUUUAACUUGGGAGUC
rnacentral:rRNA from 1 species